AAGGAUCAUUCAUAAUCAAGUGUUUUUAUGGCACUUUCAAAAAUCCAUAUCCACCUUGUGUGCAAUGUCAUCUCACUGGAGGUCACGGCUGUAAAAUCCGUUGGUCGCCUUUGGGAUUUAUAUCUACUCAGAACUUUAGUGAUUUUGUCUGAAACAUAUUAUGAAUAACUUAAUUCAAAAUACAACUUUCAACAACGGAUCUCUUGGCUCUC
rnacentral:misc_RNA from 1 species